CUCGCAGCCUAUGCCCCGCCACCGAGGGGACUGAAAC
rnacentral:other from 19 species